GGGGGUGUUUUGGUUUCGACUGGCUUUGCUAUGCCGUAAACUGCAGACCAAGAGCUGACUUGUAAAACCGGCAAAAAAAAUUAAAUGCAAAGAAAGAAGAAGACUACGAAGUCGAAUCUGAAGCAUUUGCUCUUGCUGCCUAAUCGCAGUUGAGCAGGGGAAACGAUCAAUUAAGUCCCUGGUUGGUUGUUUCCUUUGACUUAGGGGACUUAUCAAGAUUGAGUGCAUCGGUAUUCUUGAGACACUUAGAUGCUGCUUCAGGAGCAACGCUGGUUUCACUGCCCAGCCCUGACUAAGACUAGAACUGAAACUAUGUCUGUAGACGUUUGUGGGUGGACUGUUAGGACGGGAGUUCGAGUCUCCCCACCUCCAAUA
rnacentral:tmRNA from 1 species